GAGGAAUAUUGGUCAAUGGGCGCAAGCCUGAACCAGCCAUGCCGCGUGCAGGAUGACGCAUCUAUGGUGUGUAAACUGCUUUUGUACAGGAAGAAACAGUUCUUUGCGAAGAACCUUGACGGUACUGUAAGAAUAAGGAUCGGCUAACUCCGUGCCAGCAGCCGCGGUAAUACGGAGGAUCCAAGCGUUAUCCGGAAUCAUUGGGUUUAAAGGGUCCGUAGGCGGCCUUAUAAGUCAGCGGUGAAAGUUUUUGGCUUAACCAAAAAAUUGCCAUUGAUACUGUAGGGCUUGAAUGUUUGUGAAGUAACUAGAAUAUGUAGUGUAGCGGUGAAAUGCUUAGAUAUUACAUGGAAUACCAAUUGCGAAGGCAGGUUACUAACAAAUGAUUGACGCUGAUGGACGAAAGCGUGGGUAGCGAAC
rnacentral:rRNA from 1 species